GUCGGUGAUUUUAAUGAGAUACUAUUUUCUCAUGAAAAAGAGGGGGGUGCCACACGCCCAGUACGGAUGAUGCAGAACUUCAGAGACGCUCUUAUGGACUGCGAGCUAGAUGAUAUGGGCUACACAGGAGAACUCUUCACUUGGAGGAGACGCCACUUAAGGGAACGACUCAACAGGGCAGUGCGUAACGCUGGUUUUCAUGGCAUGUUCCCAAGCUCUGUCGUUACAAAUGCGUCACAUCUAAAAUCUGAUCACAGACCAGUAGUUCUUGAUACAGAAGGAGACACAGCAGCUUUGCAACAACAAGUGAGGAGCCAGCGUCAAUUCGAGGCGCGCUGGCUCAAAGAGGAUGAGAUAGUGGAUCAUGUGACCGAGGCCUGGGCUCAAACGUCUAGCUCUGGAACGCUAGCUACUCAUACAACUAAGGUUCACAAAGACCUCCAUGACUGGGAUCGGACUGUGUUGAAAUCACCACAAUGCCGUCUGAAGAGUCUCAAGGAGGAGCUUGAACUUUUGCGAUCGGGCCCACUCACUGAUGAGUCGGAAGAUAGACAAAGAAAACUCUUGAUUGAGAUCGAGGAGACAAUGGAGAAGGAAGAAAUAUAUUGGGUGCAAAGGGCCCAUGCAAAUUGGCUCAGAUUUGGCGAUCGGAAUACAAACUAUUUCAAUAACUUUGCAAUGGGCCGAAAGAAAAGAAACUUCAUACAUGGUCUAAUGGAUACAAAUGGCGACUGGACGGAAGAUAACGAAUCCGUGAGGUCCUUGGUCGAAGCUUAUUUCAAGCACCUUUUUUACUGCUGA
rnacentral:rRNA from 1 species